UACGUAGGUGGCAAGCGUUGUCCGGAUUUAUUGGGCUUAAAGGGUGCGUAGGCGGUCUUUUAAGUCAGUGCUGAAAUACUCCAGCUUAACUGGAGGGGUGGCAUUGAUACUGGAAGACUUGAGUGUAGUCGAGGUAGGCGGAAUUGACGGUGUAGCGGUGAAAUGCUUAGAUAUCGUCAAGAACACCGAUAGUGAAGACAGCUUACUAGGCUACAACUGACGCUGAGGCACGAAAGUGUGGGGAGCAAACAGG
rnacentral:rRNA from 1 species